rnacentral:piRNA from 1 species
UACAAAUUGAUUACAAAUUGCCGUGGCC